rnacentral:lncRNA from 10 species
AUUCUUAAACUGAUAUUUAAAUGUUUUUCUCAGCUGGGCAUGGUGGCCUAUACCUGUAAUUCCAGCACUUCAGGAGGCCAAGGAGGAAGGAUCACUUAAGCGCUUUGUAGAGUGAGGCCUCCAUCUCUACAAAUAUAUUUUUUUAAUUAGCUGGGUGUGAUUGUGCAUGCCUGUAGCCCCAGCUACUCAGGAGGCUGAGUUGGGAGGAUUGCUUGAGCCCAGGAGUUCAAAGCUGCUAUGAGCCAUGAUCGCGUCACUGCAAUCCAGCCUGGGCAAAAGAGAAAGAGUCCAUCUCAAAGAAAAAAAAAGGUGGGGAGAGGGGGGCUUUUAAUGAUAAAUUUAAAAAGGCUUUUAAUUAUAAAUUUAAGUAGUUAUGAAGUUCUGAUGAGUUAUGAAUGAUGUUUUGAAAAUAAAGUGAUUACAGAAAAUUUUUAAAUGUAUGCAGUGAGUUAUAAAUAUUAUAGUGACUUAAUAUCCACCCCAUCAUUCAUUUCAAAAAUACUUAAGCCUUUGACCAGUUGAAAAUUUUGCAUUGAUUAUUUUUCUCCCUGAAAAUAUUUUUAUUUCACUUCUACCACAGGAUUCUAUCAUAAUUGAAUAUGCUCUAUCCUUCAAAGUUUUUUACUGAUCAGACUGUAUCAUUAGGGUCCUAAGAAGCAAAUUUUCUUCUGGAUUGAACUGUUACUAUUAUUAGCAAUACACAGUUUAAUCAAUGUGUUUCACAAAAUCUGAUAAGGAAUUGUAGGCAAAAAAAAAAAAAAGUUACAAGAAAUGCAUCUCUUAAAUAAGUUAUCUCUGUUGGUGUCCUAAGGUUUAUUACACCUUUCUACCUCAGCAGGGCAGCACAAUGUAGUAAGAUUUAGGAUGUGCCAGGGGGGAGAGGAGCCAUUAUGAAAUGCCAGGUGGGCCUGGACUGCAGGAGUCCUCAGACAGAUCACUUUUAGAAGAGUUGGGAUCUGAAAACUGAAUCCCUUGAAACUCCUCAUGACCACGUGUCCAUAUUCUCAGGGAUACGCAUGCCUCCAUUUGAAGAUUGUUUUUACAGAAAUAAUUGGGGUAAGGAAAGGAGACAAGGAUGCUAGGGAUUGAGUCUGGAAAGAUAGGCAAGAACCAGAUGACAGCAGGGUCUUGGGGGACACAUAAGGAUUUUAGAAUUUAUCCCAAAGGACAGGGAAGCUACUGAGAUUUUAAGGAGAGGAGUGACAUGCUUAUAUUUGAUCUUUUUAAAAGUUGUUCAGGCAUUGUGGAGAGUAUAUUUUAAACAGUUUGGAGACUAUAGCUAGACUCCCAGCUAGAAAGGAUGAUGGUAGCUUAGCCUUUGGUGGUGACCAUGUAUGGAGAGAAAAACGAAUCCCUCAUGUACAGUGUUCUUGGAAGGAAAUUUGACAGUAUGUUCUAAGAAUGGACAGCCAUAUGGUUUGGAUCUGUGUCCCCACCCAAAUCUCAUUAUCAGUCUUAACCCCCAAUGUUGGAGGUGGGGCCUGGUGCCAGGCGAUUGGAUCACAGGGGCAGUUUUCUCAUGAAUAGGUAUCACCGUCCCUCUUGGCACUGUCCUCAGGAUAGUGAGUGAUUCUCGCGAGAUCUGGUGGUUGAAAACCACGUAGCACCUCCCCACUCACUCUUGCUCCUGCUCUCCCUUUUCCUUUCACCAUGAUUGUAAGUUUCCUGAGGCCUCCCCAGAAGCUGAGCAGAUGCCAGCACUAUGCUUCCUGUACAGCCAGCCAAAAUGUGAGCCAAUUAAACCACUUUUCUUUAUAAAUUACCCAGUCUCAGGUAUUUCUUUAUAGCAAUGCAAGAACAGCCUAAUACAGACAGAUACCCUUUUAAUCAGUCCAUCUACCUAAGUGCACAUCAGUAGCAGAAUAGCUUUGUGGAUACACAGUACUGAUAAGUGAAAUGGUAUGCAGCAGUUGGACAGGAAUAAGUAGCACUAAAUGCGUAGUCGUGGACAGAUCUCCAGGACACUAGGUGACAAAGCAAGUUGCUGGAUAAUACAUGCACUAUGAUCCUAUUUCUGUAAAAACUAAAUAAAACUUUGGUCAGUUCCCAUUCAUGCUUUUAUUUUGCUGUUUGCACAGAUAAAACAAGAAGGCAUUCCUGUUAUAAAAAGUGUAAGCAAUCCUAUGUUUUGAAUAUUGAAUGAAAUGUGGACAUUUCCCUCAUGCCGCACCCAAUCCCACUUUCUUACCCAGAGGUUACAGCUAUCUACUUACGCAGUAGAUGCUUGGCAAUCCUUUGCCCCUUCCCUCCUUGAGGUGACUAAGAUGGUCAUGCAGACAAGCCACCCCUCCCAACAGAACCCAUGUGAUCUAGGGGGAAGCUGACCCCACCCAUAAUGGGCCACCAUCAGUCUAGGGCUGUGUUUUUUUGACGUGUGGACCUUGAAGCCUUCAGGCUCCUCAAGAUGCUUUCAGCUGGUCCAAGGGAAAAAUGUUUUCACAGUGAUACUGAGACAUCAUUUGCCUUUUCACUAUUAGAUUUACAGUGGUGAUGCAAAAGCAGGGGUAGGUAAAUCCACUAGCACCUCACUGAGAGUAAGGCAAUGACACAGAAAGUUACCUACUAGUGACCAUCAUGUUCUUCAUCACAAUGUGAUCAUGGCAGAAAAACGCUUAAGAAUAGCCUGAAUGUGAUAGCAAAAAAAAAAAAAAAAAAAAAAAGUCAAUUUUAUUAAAUGUCAACUGUGGAGUACACAUCUUAUGAAUACUCCAUGUGACUAAAUGGAACUUGCAUGAAGCACAUGGGAAGCAUACCAAAGCUCAAUAGCUCCCCUGUAGGAAACAACCUCUGAGCUGCAAGCUGAGAGCUACUUUUUUCGUGGAACAUCACUUUUGCUUGAAAGAAUAACUAGCAGAUAAAGUGGUGAGUCUGGCAGACACUUUUUUCAAAAACAAAUUCACUUCAAAAGAAAACAGUGGGUAAUGUUGCCAACAAUAAAAUUGAAGCUUUCAAGUGAAAACUUGAAUCUUGGAAAACUUAUAUUGCUCUAUGAGCUUGACACCUUCUCAGUUCUUGAAGACCUUUUUCAUGAGGACUGUGGUAAUAGCAACCAUUGUGAUUUUUCAAUACUGUAUGAUGCAAUGUGUCAGAAUUUGGAAGGUUGGCACAAUGCAGUAAACCAAACCAAUGUUUUUUAAAUAAUGCAUGAUAUUUUAAAAUGAUGAAUGGGUAAAUGGCUCUUGCAAGCACAAGAUAUACCAAUAGGUUUUAAUUUAA